rnacentral:rRNA from 1 species
UUGCUCUCGGGUGACGAGUGGCGGACGGGUGAGUAAUGUCUGGGAAACUGCCUGAUGGAGGGGGAUAACUACUGGAAACGGUAGCUAAUACCGCAUAACGUCUUCGGACCAAAGUGGGGGACCUUCGGGCCUCACACCAUCGGAUGUGCCCAGAUGGGAUUAGCUAGUAGGUGGGGUAAUGGCUCACCUAGGCGACGAUCCCUAGCUGGUCUGAGAGGAUGACCAGCCACACUGGAACUGAGACACGGUCCAGACUCCUACGGGAGGCAGCAGUGGGGAAUAUUGCACAAUGGGCGCAAGCCUGAUGCAGCCAUGCCGCGUGUAUGAAGAAGGCCUUCGGGUUGUAAAGUACUUUCAGCGGGGAGGAAGGCGAUGAGGUUAAUAACCUUAUCGAUUGACGUUACCCGCAGAAGAAGCACCGGCUAACUCCGUGCCAGCAGCCGCGGUAAUACGGAGGGUGCAAGCGUUAAUCGGAAUUACUGGGCGUAAAGCGCACGCAGGCGGUCUGUCAAGUCAGAUGUGAAAUCCCCGGGCUUAACCUGGGAACUGCAUUUGAAACUGGCAGGCUAGAGUCUUGUAGAGGGGGGUAGAAUUCCAGGUGUAGCGGUGAAAUGCGUAGAGAUCUGGAGGAAUACCGGUGGCGAAGGCGGCCCCCUGGACAAAGACUGACGCUCAGGUGCGA